UAUUAUAUAUAGCAUAUAUGUACAUUCACGGAGCAUAUCUAUGGGGUCUAGAUAGAUCAUCCACUAGGGUUAGAAGUUAGAAACCAAAUCUAAGUUUAAUCCCUUCAAGUAUACUAUUUAUGUGUUCUAAUAAAGAUCUCCUUUGGAGAAUAAUAUUAUAACCUAUAUAUAGUUACAUGAUAAACCAUUUUCUUCCUCUUAUGAAAGUGUUUAUGAGAGUAAAAUGAAUUUUGAGGAUAUAUUAAGAGUGUUAAUCCUUGGCGGAUUUGAAAGAUGGAUGCUGGCUAGUGUCGAGGAAGCAUGUGUUUGAUUUAUUGAGGCUCCAUCAUGUCGACUAUCAAUCGAAUUUAUAAGCUCAUCACAAUUGUUUCUCAUGAAAGGAACAAUAAAACAAACACAGAGAAAGCAUCUUGGUGCUAGUUUCUUCACCACCUGAAUGUUCUCAUGAAAACAUAAGGGCAAGCGUUUGUUUGGGUAACGUGGAUCUUACUUUUCCAUCUGACACGUGUUCAACACCUGGCAUAUUGGAUUGCAAAGCGUUACGUUCUGUGUCGGAUCCGCCAGCCGGAUACGUACCCAUUAUGUACCCAUAUUGUCUUGUCAAAGUAAUAGAUUUGCAUCUUCCUAUAGAUUUCUUCAAAACAAUGUACAUGUACGCAAUCGGCGUUUGUUCUCACUUAUCAGAAUUGUAAAAUUGCCCCAGGUUUAUUUCA